rnacentral:lncRNA from 1 species
CCAAUAUAAUCUAUUUAUAUUAUAACAAAAAUUGAAACUUCAUAUAAACCUAGGAAACAAUAAUAACAAAAGUCAUUCUAAAAGGGAGAGCAAAAGCCGUAAAAUUGUUAUUUCGAAGCCAUUACCCCGCUUAUCCUGAACAAUCAACAUCUUAGGAUUUCAGCGUUUAUAAGGCAGGUUAAUACUUUAAAACGUAGAAGGAGAAGGCAUAUUUGAGAUUUGGAUAAAGAAAGAGAAAAGAGGAAUAGGAUUUUACUCGAACAGGAUCAGAUCUCCCAUGGCUUUUUGAUAAAAGUGUUUUAGGGUUUGGAUGAGAGAUGAAGCGACAACAAUGGUGGUUAGAGUGUGAGAGAGAGAGCAUUUGAGACUAAUUUGACAAAUCAUUGGUUGACA